ACAAUUUCCUACUAAGGCUGGUAGGGAAUGAUAAUGUUUUGAUAGUUAAGUUGGGAAAAGGGGGAUACAAGGAAAAUUUUCUGUGGUUAAUUACAAGUGUUACAUAAGGUGAAGAGUGUGCUGGUAGGAGUAAAUCGUAAUGUUAAAAUUCUCGAAGUAAUGAAACUAGUAAUCGAGAUAGGACUAAGAAAUAAAAAGAAAGUUAAAGUUGAUGAUGGGAUAGACAUCUUUGAAGGAAAAGGUGUAAGGAUGAGAUAGGACUAAAAUUAAGGAAUAAGUACAGCAGGUUGAAAUGAUACCAACAAUACCAAAAAUAGG
rnacentral:misc_RNA from 1 species